GUGAAGAACGCAGCGAAAUGCGAUAAGUAGUGUGAAUUGCAGAAUUCAGUGAAUCAUCGAAUCUUUGAACGCACAUUGCGCCCUUUGGUAUUCCUUAGGGCAUGCCUGUUCGAGCGUCAUUUAAACCUUCAAGCUAAGCUUGGUGUUGGGUGACUGUCCGCUUCACGGCGGACUCGCCUCAAAAUUAUUGGCGGCCGGUACAUUGGCUUCGAGCGCAGCAGAAACGCGAACUCGGGCCCGUCGUAUUGGCUCCCAGAAGCUAUCUUCACAAUUUUGACCUCGGAUCAGGUAGGGAUACCCGCUGAACUUAAGCAUAUCAAUAAGCGGAGGA
rnacentral:misc_RNA from 1 species